AUGACUCAAAUAAGUGAAAGAAAAACAUCAACAUUAACUUCUGAUACAACGACAAGUACAAGAUCUGUAUCAUCAACUUCAACAUCAUCGCACAGUCAUCCUCCAACAUUCGCAGGCAUCAGAAAGUGUCAUACAUGUGGAGAUGCUAAUUCAUCUUUUUCCUGUGAUACGAGGACAAUCUACUUGGGGAAUUUACAGAAUUGUGCACCAGAUGAACAUUUCUGCAUGACGGAUAUUGUCCAUGACGGAUCAGACAACCCUAAGACAUUUUAAAGAUGUGUGACAGAGGAGGAGUGCCGAAACAAAUGGCUCCACCAGACGUCAGAUCUAGAAUACUGCAUUAACUACGGCAAUGUCCCAAUGACGGGACAGUACAGCUGUCACUUCUGUUGUGACAGACGGAUGUAACACGGGACAGGUUCCGGAUAAAUCUACCUUUUAUACUAAAG